CGGAGAUGAUGCUAUAUGUCUCGCCGUCUGACGAUGCCCGGGUGCACCUGGAAGUUCUUACAAGAGGAGGGGAGUUCAUCACGCACCUUUGGGCGCUGCUCACGCAUGCCGGUGUGCUGAAGCGAGGCCCUACAGAGCCGAAGGAUAUUGUGUGACCUCUCCAACAAGUCCACACGUAGCAGUCCUUACAUCUACCUAGUGCUUGUAACAUUUUAUGUAUAUUGCCUACUGUCUUGUUGGGACACACCAACUUGUGGCACGCCGUGUGAGUUAGUCUGUCGAGUCUGUAUCUCUUUUCAUGUCGUGUCUGUUGUCGGAUUUAGGUCAGGGUCGGAGUCUGUAAUUUCUGCAAGUUUCGUUAAGAAGAGGGCGAGUUCAGGUUGCUGGACGUGCGCGCGUCUUAGGUGGUCAUUACUACAGUCAUGAUCCGGUGACCACUUGCUCAGGAUCGCUAGUUAUGUUGCAUAAAUAAAGGGGAAGAAAAGUGAAAACGCUGCAGCGUCAUCGCAGCACAAAUCCACUGUCUCAGUUGCGUCUGUUUGUGUGUCAACCGAGCAGGUCCUGUUGCAGAAGAGAUUGACCCUGCUACUACAGGGAGGGGUUCAACCUUGAGAUAGAAAGACGCCAGGGUAGGAAAUUCUUGCAUUAAUAUGGUGUCCUCACUCUUCCCUCUCGGGGGAAGAGAGGUUUUAUUCUUUGUUACGUGCAUUGGAUCUCCAUUUUGGGCACAAGUAUAAUGGUAUUUACAUGAUGCUGGGACCCUAACACUGCGCCCACUUAGAAGAAAACGAGAUAAAGGUAUGGACUUCCUUAUGUGGCUCUAUGGACUCAUGCGGAGGGACACAUCCGCAAUUUAUAUGUCACAUUUUUUUUUGCAAAACCUGAUAUGUCAUCAUUGUUAAAAGUAUUUAUUUAUUUGUUCCUUGAUCAGGAUGGGCUCUGUUUCUGGGCAUCAUUAUCCCACCCUGCUUCUGCCGUGCCCUUGGUUUAUAUACAUCACGCAUGUAUAAUUUCAAUUUUGUACUGAAAGAUGUACACCAUUUUUGUAACUGGUUUAUAUUUUUUUUCUUAGUCUUCCGUAAACAAUGAAGUAUAUAUGUCACCUGAAGAGAAAAUUUUAAAACGAAAAAGAACAAUUUGCACAAAUGUUAGCACUAAAAAAAAAUUAGGCUACCCUAAAAAAAAUUAGCACUAAAUGAUAAUUCUGAAUAAAUCUCAAAGGCCCAUUAGCAUAAGAGGGGGUACACCAUCUAUUAGUCCCAUAUUACUAAUAGACGAGGGUGUUAGGGGUUUUUCUCCCUAUAUAUAUGGACCACCUCCCUCAUGGAAUAGAUGCAAUAUAGACUACUAUACGGGAAGGCCCCAAGUUAGGGUAUCCCUAAGGUGGUUUGCACGAGUUAGGUUUUUGCCUCUUCUCGCUAUUGCGCUGCCACCAUAAUCUACUCCAUCCCGAGCGUCGGCGUGCACCGGCGAACGGGAGAGCAGGUCUCCGGAACCUCUCACUGUUGUGAUCCUGCACCGGGAGAGGGCGAAUAAGUUUUUUGGGAAGCGCUCUGCGCGACUGCUCAAGGUCUUCACCACGGCUCAUCUUUCAUCCCAGUCCGGUGUUGCGGCGGCUCGUCGUCUUCAGUGUCGUCUGCUGCGCUCCAUCCGCAACACCUUCGUCGUUCCGUCAGCACCACUUCCGAUCACGACUGCGCCUGCUCAGUAUGUACGCUGUGAUUUGAUCUAUAAUUUCAGCAUGUUUUAUGAGAAUAUGAUGUCGUUCUUGCUGUUGCCUAGUAUGUUAGAGUCUUGCAUGCUAGAUUUAUUUCUUUUUAUGAGAAAUAUAGUUCGGAAUUUAAUCAUACAAUUGCCUAAUUUUCCAACAUAUAUAGUAAUCCCUACAAAUGGAUGCGAGGGAAUGUGUUUAUUAUCCAACCAAACACAAGACCUUCUUGCUAAGUCAUAUCCCUUCCUCUGCUCCGAUCCCAAAAAGGGAUUAAUUAUAUGCUACCAUCGUCAAUCAAAAUUAUUCAAACUAAAGGACGAUGCAUGAUCAUGAGGAAACAAUGCCAACACCUUGUACUAGCGGCCAGUCGCGAGGGGGUUGUCGAGGAAAAGUCAGAUCGAGUUCGCGGACGAGCUAGAGUCAUCACGGAAGCCAGCCGAUAAUAAAUAAUGAGCGAUUCAUGAGGGGGAAAUCACAAUCUUGGCAGAGGAGAGCCAGCGGCCGGUGCGAGCUUGGCCAUGUAAUGUCAAGGAUGUUCACCGCAAUUCUUCGGUCGGAGUCGCAGAGUUUCGGAGAAGAGUGAGGCCCGGCAGUGGUUUGGACCGGCGGCCUAGAUCGAUCACGGCGGAUCGAUGGAUGGGUGUGGUGGCGCAGGAAGGAUGGACCUUGAGGCAUGCAUGCCCGGAACAGAAGAGAUUGGUUGCUGGUCCGAUCCGUCUAUAAGGAGGGUUAUAUGUAACUUGAAUAUAUUCUUAACCAGGAUGUUGUGCCAAACAUUAAACGGUGUUUGAACAUAUCGAAUUUAGCAUAUUCGUUUGAUUUUUUUUGUCGUAAACAGAAAACCAAGGAUAGAUAAUAUUUGCUGGCAUGGAGUUUAGGAGUGCAAUAAACAUUGGCAAUGCCAACAUGAAAGAAAUUAAAGGGGACGCGUUGUUUUAUUAGAUUUAAUUUGAUAUAUAGCUACGAACACAUACAUUGGAUGCAUUACAUGGAAGAGAAUUCCAAUAUUUACUGCAUUCAUGAAAUGAAUCUAGCCAUCGCGGCGUCCAUUUCAAUAAUAUUAUUCAACCAAUGAGCCCGUUAUCAUCCUUUGCACCAGCAACUUGGGGAGGCGGCAGUGGAUGUUGUUCUACAUAAAAUCUGCAGCAACACAUUUUGACAUCUUCUCUGACAUCAGUUUUGUCGCAUGACGCCAGAAAAGGGUAAUCGUUGUGCUCUCUGGCCACCUCUUGACAUCUUCUCUCACAUUUUAUAUUAACGCACGGGUCCAUUUUGACACAUUUUCUAUAAACUGCAUGUGCAUGCAAUCAACAUGCAUUGCCCGAACACAAUGAAAAACAUGGUAAAUACAAAAGCAGUUUGAUUAGAAACGACAUACACUCAGGCCUCAUUCGUUUCACCGGGAUUGGAUUCCAGCUAGGAUUACUUCCGGGUCCGGUUUAAGUGAUUCCACCCGUGUCACUCAAUCCGGCUAGAAUUCAUUCUAGGGGUGAGGAGGUAUGGUUUCAAUCCAGGCCAUUUAAUGUAGAAGGAUUCCAAUUUAGGCCGCUUUUCGUUCCAGGCUAGACUAAAACGAACAACCCUUUCAAUGCAAGUCUGGUUUCAAACUGGGUCACUUCAAACCACCCGGAAUGGACCUCAUUCCGGACCAAUCCGGUGAAAACGAACGAGGCCUCCACGGGUUCUGACCGGGACGAAGACGCCAUCACAAGAAUGCAGAGAGCGGCAGCGCACACGGCUCUCGUCACGUUGCUGUUCAUGACAGCCAUCUUGAGAGAAGAACAAUGAUGGUAUGCCUAUAGAGCUAUCCUGUUAUGUUCCAGUAUGCUUGUUGAUGUCUUUGCUCUUGGUUAUAUAGAGGCAGGGAAGCAUCUUACGCCGUGUACUUAUUUAUUACAAGAGUAUCUGUAUAUAUCCUGUCAAAUUUAAAUAACGUGGAGGUACCCUAGCUUGUUGUUUGUUUUGAUAUCUUGCACCAUUAUCAAAUAAAUAUGAGAUAUAUAUAAUACUUAUUUAUUACAUGAAUAAUCUAUAUAUGUACCCUCCUAAAUUAAUGUCGAGCUACCCCUAUUAUUAUAUGGUUUGAUAUCUUUCCGCACCAUUGUCAAAUAAAUAUGAGGUACAUCAUAUUUAUUUAUUUAUGGCAUGGAUCUAUGUACCAUCCUAAAUUAAUGUUGAGCGCUACCCAUAUUGUAUGGUUUGAUAUCUUUCACCACUGUCAAAUAAAUAUGAGAUGCAUAUCUUGUUUAGAUUUUUCACUAGAACUCGAAUAUUUGUACCCUCCCAUGUUAAUGUUGAUGCACAUUUAAAUAAAUGUGACCAUAUCCAAUUUCUGCAAUAAACUCACUCGAUUUCAUUCUGCCUCCCACCAGUGUCAUGAUAUCUCAAAGCUACAGGAUUGUACCUUUAUUAGAUUCAAAGAAAUGAUAGCAUCAAUUGUCAUAUUGGAGUAAACCAUAGACAUGUGGCCGCAUAUUAACACACUUGAUUUCUAUUUAAAAAUAAUAUUUUAUACAAGAAGCAAAAGGUGGCAAAUAGCUGGAAAAUAUUUUAAUUAUAUGAUAUUUUAUGCAUUAAAAAUUUAUAUGGCUAUCCUUACUUGUUUCUAGAAUGAAUUCUGAAAUUGAUGCAUUCGAAUUCUUUUUUUCCAUCUUUUUUCAUUAUCUAAGCUCAAAUAACUAUUUGAAAUAAUAAAUGUGCAUAUGGAUGGAUAUCUAAAAUUAUCUGUAUUCAUAAAGAAUAAUAACAUCUUCAAGCCAUACUAUAAAUAUAAUAUUUUUAUUUAGUUUGCAAUUAAUAUAUUUACUAAUGUAAAUUGUUUUAAAAUAUUGAUUCAUUGUAAAUUAUUUCAUGACUGCCAUCUCUGACCUCGACACCAUCCACCGCGACGUCAUCGACAGCGCAGCCGGCAAGCAUGCCACCAUGUGGCGACAGCGGCUCACUGACUCCGGCGAUAGCGGCUCGCGGGCGGGUGUUGCAUGUAAUCCUCUAUCUGCUGUUCGUUUCUUUCGUUGAAUAAGCUCGCCACGUUUAUAUAUGAAAUACACAUAGAAAACGCUGCCGGUUAAGCAGCCCAAAAGAUAACCUGUGAUCACUGUGCAUCUUCCUCCUCGCGUGCGUGUGUGUAGGUUUGACUUGAAUCUGCCGGAGUGCACAACUGCCGGGCGACGGAGCUCGCCGGAGUUGCUGACAGCGGGCAGCCUCUCCAGUGGCGGCCGCUCUUGGGCAGGUGGAGCGGCAUCUCGCUGGUGGGCGUCCGCUCCAGCAGCAGAGGCGCAUGAGCAGGUGGUGGUAGGGACUCCGCGGCGGCGACUCGCGAGCGGGCGGACGCUUUGGCGGCGGGUGCUCACGCGCGGGUGGAGCGGCGACUCGCGGGAGGCCGGCCGCUCCGGCAGUGGAGGCGGGUGGCAGCUCCGGCCCGACCCUUCCUCUGUACCACCACUGCAACGAUGGAGCCACAUGCCCCGCCCUACGCGCUGCAGCGAAGGCAGAGUACGGUGACGCAGGCGGUGGUGAAACAAGGUGGAGAGGAGGAGAGGGGGCGCACCUCGCCGCGGCCAGCCGGGUGAGCUCGAGCUCCGCCGUUGGCCAGCUACGCCGGGUGAGCGAGUUGGGCCAACGCGGCCGGCCGGGCGAGCUGGAUCUCCGCGCAUGAAGACAGGAGAGAGAAGAAAGAAUAAGAAGAGAGGAGAGAGAAAAAUGACCUAACGAAACUACCCUUCAAAACCUGUGAAUGGCCAAAAUGUAAACGGUUUUAGUAGCACGAUGGUCGAAGAUUCCUCAUUUUGGAGUUGGAUGGUUAAAAUAAAAAAUGGACUUCCUCAUUAUUAUUUUCCAGCAAUAGAAAAAGUAUCCUGUACGAAGAGAAUGGAAACAGAGAGCCUUUAUGUAUCUAGAAAUAAGUGAAGAUACUUGACUUGCUGAAAUUAAAUCAAACAGGAAGUACAUAAGUUUUACAAGAAAACAUGAAUGCUGGAUUUAGAAAAAUAUAAAUGCCGUUUGGUCGUGAGCUUACUAUGUGCGAGCUUGGUCUUGUUCUCUUCUGACUUGCACCACUGCUGUAGUUCAUGGUUCCGAUCAAUAACUAGCAGCUGCCGGAGGUUGGUGAGGUGCUGUAUAUACAUGCAGGUAAAGACUUAAAUGCUAUCACAGCUCUUGAUGACGAGCUUUUUAAGAGAGGAGAUGUCGCUCAGCCAUUCUCUUGCAGUGCUGAUAUGCUGUGACAACAAUUCAACUCGAGUGAUUGAAGGGAGGAGAGUUGCUGUAUGCCCUCCGGCAAGCUCGUCAGAUUUAAACAACAUGAGAAUUCCAACUCCUGGAGGGCAGGAAGUGGUGAAACAGCCUGAAACUCACUAGGACAGAAAAUAUUUUUCCUGGCGGGUGAAAGGACACUGCGCUUGUCAACAACUUUGAACCAGCCAUUUGCAAAUGGCUCACUGUGCUGACAGGUGCUCGCCCGCCAGCACAGUUGAUUUUUCAAUUAAAAAAAGCCAUCAGGUCACCGCUGCCUGCCGCUCAAUGGGGAACACGUACGGCGGCGGCUGUAGGUACACCCGACCUCGCCACCUAACCCGACGUCAUCGGCGCCGUGCUGUAGAACCUGCCGAACUCGGCGGCGGCAGCUAUAGGUAACCCAGCCUCGCCGCCUAACCUGACGUCAUCGGCACCGGCGCUGUAGAACCCGCUGAACUUGGCGGUGGUGGCGGCGUCGCUGCUGCCACCACCAUAGACCGAGUCGCCGCAAUCGAGGAGCAGGCGCGCCCUCUUCGUGACCUCCCCUCCGACACAGUUCUCCUUCAGACCUGAGGCGAAUCCGAUGCCGACUCUCGUGUCGGAGGCCCCGGAGGAGACGAGGCGGCACAGGACCCGCGGGUCACCGAUGACCUUGAUGAGGAAGGUGAGCAUCUGCUUUGUCCUCGAUGGCGCGCUGCUCCCACUUCAGCCAGACCACCUCCAGGCAACCACGUCCUCGUCCACAGUCCCGGUGUCGCCACCGCCACCGCAGGCGUCAUCCUUGCGCUUGCAGCCACCACCGAAGCCGCCCGCAGCUGCUGCCGCCUUCGCAGCCGUGCCUACCGCCGCUCCCGUGGCCCGCCGACGCUGCCACCCGCUAAAGCUCCUCCCUCCCCCAGCCGCACCCGCCGCGCAGCCGCCACGCCCCAGCGGACGCUGCUCCCCCAUCGCUCCCAUGCAUCGUCGGCCGUGCCUCCCACCCACCUGUGUGAACAGAUAAGGAGAGAGAGAGAGGAGAAGAAAAAAUACCUCUAAGGAAGCGACAAACGGACCUUCAAUCUCCCCUCCCCUCCUCCCUCCCUCCCUUUCACUAGUAGAGAACUACCUUCCAUCCACCCGUUUUAUCUUGGUUGAUAUUUGGCCCGUAACUAAAGGUUAAUGAACCAGGACUAAAACUCAGCCACAGGCGGAGGGCUCACCAACCGGGACUAAAGAGCCCCUUUAGUCCUGGUUGUAAAGACCAGUGGCCCUGAGGGACCUAUCAUCCCGGUUGGAAACACCAACCAGGUCUAAAGGCUCCCCUUUAGUUCUGGUUGGUAAUUCCAACCAGGACUAAUGUUUCCCUUCUUCUCCUCCCUUCCUUCCUUCUCCUCUCCCUCCCUCUCUUCCUCUUCUCUCGCUGCUGCUAUGGCUCUCGACCUCGCUCUAGCUCGCUCGGCGCAUGCAGAAAUGAAAUGGGCGAGCGUCCAGGUUGGCCGUGCACCUGCUUUUAUAAGGGGAGGCCUCCCCGGCUCAUUUGGCUAAAGCUUCCAAUUCAAACAGCGGCCUCCCCGGCUCAUUUGGCUAAAGCUUCCAAUUCAAACAGCGCCUGCGUUCUGCCAAAUCACCCGGUGGAAGCGCCUCGACCCCUGCGCCACUGAAUUCUGUUACCGCCAUUUCAACCAGCGGUCCACCUUUACCGCCGUUUCAAGCGGCGGCACAUGUCUAUCUAUGCAAAUUUUUCGUUCAACUAUUUAUUUCUGCAAAAUCGUAGAAUAAAAAAUAUAAAAAUAAAAAAAUUCUGAUCUGACCGAGAACUUGUUUAGAACUUGAACACCUUCCCUGCCAAUUCGUUGCAGCCCAGUUAUUUCCCAAUAGGUGGUAGCCGGCAGCCCAAUAGGCCCAAACGACCAAUAAACUAUUUCUUCUCAUCCCUCCGACUCCUGCCUGUGUCUCCCGAUGCUGACGGCGCGACGAACCCUUGCCGCGCCUAACCGGAGCCUUGAGAUAGCAGGGAGAGGAGGCCGGGCAGGCAAGUGACCCAGCUCAUGAAGCGGGAUUGGAGUCGGCAACUGAAGUCGGCCGGCAUGGCCCAAGGCCAAGGUAUGUUCUGCCCCAACUAAUUAAAAUCUUGGGUACGUAUUAGUAGAGAUAGAGAAAAGAUCAAGAAUUGUUAUGCAGUUGACAUAUGCUGGUUGAAAUUUAGAAAUUUCUGCUUCUUUUGAAUAAUGCAUAUAUAUACAUGUGUGUUGGUGACGGCAAGUGAUGUAUUGGCCAGUGACGGCUACCUAGCUAGCAAUGUAUGUCACCUGUGAUUAAUUGAAUUGAUAGUGGCACUGGCACUAUCAUAUAUAUGUCACCUGUGAUUAAUUGAAUUGACUUACAUACGCAGCUCUUAAUUAGUUUAUUAGGAUGUACAAAGAUCUUUUAGGAUUUCUUGUCUGUGCUCAUCUCAUUCCCUUUAAUUUGGUGUGCACGAGCAAGCAAGACAGUCGGUAUUGAUAUAUACAACCAUCAUCGACAAUUUGCUAGCUAGGAGGUGUGCUCCAAAAGUCUACCAAUGCUAUACAAAUAAUUUCUGUUGACCUAAAAAAUUGUCUUCUACUUACAAGUUGCAGCAAAAGUUAAAAAUGAAAUAAAUACAUAUAAUAAUGCAGGCAUCUUCUGAAUGGUGCGGAUAACAAACUAUCUAGAAAAAACUGAUCACAUGGCCAAGUGCGACUUCUCCAGGAUCCUGUCAUAAAUCUAAAAUCUUGGAUUGGACAUGUUGUCAAUUUACCAAAGAUCGUCUCAUGGCCAAGCUCAACAUAAAGAAAAAAAAUGAUACAAAAGACAAAUAAUUUCUUAAUUAGUCAGAGGUGAAAAAUAUAUGGCCUGUUAGUUCCAGAUAGAUUCCUCUGCUUUACCAUGGAUUUUCACAUGUGAGACGCUGCCAAGAGGGAAUAUACAUGAUUAGUUCUGUGCUUAAUUAGAGACAGAAAAAUGAUGCCUCCCAUGCUUAAUUAUUCUGGAAUAUUUGGCAGAUAAAUGAAAAUAAAAGACCGUGGAUGAUGAUCUACAUACUCUAUUGUGUGCACUUAAUUUCUUAUUCCAAACAACAAAAGGAUAGCAAACCUCCAGAACUUGCUAGCUAGGACGUGGGCUCCAAAAGUCAACCAAUGCUCCACAAAUAAUUUCUGCUGACUUCACAAAUCAGUAUCUUUUACUUACAAGUUGCAAGAAAAAAUUAUAGCUGAAAUAAACAUAUAAUGUUGCUGGUAUUCUUGCGAAUACUGCGGAGAACAAACGGAUAAUUUGGCUAAGUACGAUUUCUUGGAGAACUUAAAAUACCUUGAUAGCAUUUACCCCAAUUUGGUGAUCCUUAAGGCAUCAUAUUUUAAAUGUUUUUUUCUUAUCAUUUUUGUACUUUGUCCAUCUGUGUCCUGUUCUUCUCUGGGCAUAUAUCCUUUGAAAAUGCAUGGUACAAAUACUCAAAAUCGAUUUUCAUACAGGUCUAUAAUUUUUCAAAAAUUCUGAAAUCCUGGCUAGAGGUGUUGGAGUGGACACCUGUUGUCAGUUUACACAACAUCUCAUGGCCAAGUUGAAGAUUACGUACAACAGUGUACAGCCUCUAAGUAGCUCUCAGUUUCUUUGCGUGCAUUGGCUUUGUAGGUCAGCUUCUAUGAUACAGCAUACUCACGAUGAAACGUCGUAUCGUGAUCUUGCUGAAGGCGCGCAUUCGAGUCCUCGCACUCCUUGAGGUACCGCUUGAGCCUUUGCUCCCUCAUCGUGGCAUUUGCUCAUCCAAACAAGUCUACAUCAGCACCAAGAUCUCAAGGGCAAACACGAUUCUGCAUGUCGGCAUAACAUACCUCUCAGGUGCGAAGUGAGAACUUCCUUCUCCAAGGCAAGGUCCAGAUCCUUCUGCAGGAGUAGGUCGACAUGCUUCACGGCGUCCUCCUUAGCCUUCUUGAGGUCGGCCUCAAGGCGCUCUGCCCUCAGGCGGUAGAACUCGGCCUGGUGGAUCACGUCCGCCCUCUUCUGCGCAUGCUCGGCCUUACCCUACACACAUCCUAACAUUCAACGCUCGGCAAAAGAAAAUGGAUUCCAGAUACAUGUUCCUCGGGUUGGUCGGCAAACUUACACUCAAAAACUCGGUGAUCCUCAAGGACGACUGUUGCAGCUCGUCCAGGGCUUUCAGGUCUAUUGCUGCAUCCCCAACGGAGGCCGACCUGGAGAAGUUCAAGGUAUCAGCGUCACCUCCACCUUGCACACCGAUGUUAGUGCCCCAGCUGGAUCCUUCCAGUGGUGGGUCAUCCUUGGGUAGCUGCUCCUAUUGAGGAUUAGCUCUGGCCCCCUCAUCUGCAACCUGCUUGACCUCGGGAUCCACCAUGGCAAUGUCUGUAGCCUCGGAGCUAGCUUCAUCAUGUUGCAGCGCUAGAGUUGGCACAACUUCUCCGGUGCGACCUUCUUUAUUAGCUCUGGCUUCCGGACGCGACAACUGUUCCACAGUGCGACCGCUUAUCGCCUCGGUUUGGGCUAAACACUUAGUCAGCUAUGCACCGGAUUGAUCAUCCAGCAUGACAGUCCUGCAUUGUUGGUGCAAGUUAUCAUUCAAGCAAAACAGGCGGUAACAGUAACUACAAGACAGCCAACAUAAGCAAAUUGCAUUUAGAAGGUGUUCUUCUUCUUCAUUCUGAAUUUGGGGCGCAAUGGUGGUGACGGUGCUGGUGUAUCCCCACUGGAUCCUCCGUGGAUCUGCACCUUCAGCACCUCCUUGACACACUCCGCGUCAUCCGCAGUGGUCUCAAGGAGUUCCAACUUCUUUUUUCUUAGCGACCAGGCUCGGCGUGUUGGACUCCUCAUCCGCCUCGCUUGCCAACGUGGCUGUGGACACUGUGCUCAGGGCUUCUUUCUCCUUCUUCUUGCCAGCCAUCUUCUUCCUCUUCCUGCUCGGCUGCUGCAACUUGGAGGCGGUCUUCUUGCGCACGGCUUGCCGUGUCUACCGUCCAACCGGUGCAGUGUCUGUGGCCUGGCCAACCCCUUCCAGCACGUUCUCAUCUGAUCCAAUGGAGGAGUCAAGACUCCCACUGAAGGUUGGCAGGCAGAUCGUUGGGCUUGUCAGUCGAGCUGAGCUUGGGUCGCUGUGGCUCACCCCUCUAGGAAGUGGCGCUUUCCUAGCGUUGGGCAAAAGAAUAUAAAUUUGUUGUCUGCGUCAAUUCACAAGCAUAUUUAGAAACAACUCACAAGCACAUACAGUAGCCCAAAUCAAUGCCAUUGACAAUCUUACCGGGUUGGCUGGCAUCCUGUUCAACGAAUAAGCCUUAGGGCAUCUCUUAUUUUUGAUAACACCCCCAAAAAACUCGGACACCUGGUUGACAAUUUCUUCUUUAGGCACCUUCCACUGGUCCUCCUGGGUCCAGUCCUGCAGCCCUGCGUACUCAUACGCUAGAUGCACUUGGUGCUUGAUUGGUUGAGUCAAACUCCGACAAAAGUUAUGCUGACUGCUCCGGCUAUUAGCCCACACGACUUCAGAUCAGCAAUCCUCACCAGCAAUUCAUUCACCUGGACUUGUUCCUCCGAGGUUGGUUGGUUUGACUAGUCGGGCAUGACCACUGGCCCGUAUCUAGUGCGCGGCCGGAGCUCGGGCUGUUGAUUGGUGAUGGUGAACCACUCUUUGUGCUAGCCCUUGUUGGAAUCCUUCAACUGAAGGUCGAAGUACUCCUGGACUUUCUUUGGCCGUAGAGAGAAACUACAACCCCUGAUGACUCAGAGCUGUUUUCCCUUGGUUGCAACGAUUUUCAUGUGGUACAAUUACCUCAACAUAUUGAAAUGUGGGGGAUGCCCAGAUACGCCUCGCACAGAUGGAUAAACACCACAAUAUGUAAAAUCAAGUUGGGGUUCAGAUGUACCAGCUCAAUCUUGUAGUCAUGCAGAAGACUCUGGAAGAAGUCUCCGCAUGGGAUGCCGAACUCGUGCUUGAAGAAUGAUGCGAAGACCACCGUCUCCAUCUUGUCCUCCGACGGGAAAUCCAAUAGCUCUUGAGGCCUGAGGAGGCUCCGAUCGACGAGCUUCGAUAUGAUGACCUAAGUUCUUGUUCACCUACACAUCGCUCGGGUGCUUGAGGGAUAUGGGUACCCCAUGGGUCCCUACCAACAAGGAUACUGGCCGGACUUUACAAGUGGGCCCGUCUGACCAGGGCAUGCAGGCUAAGGACAUGAAGACAUUUGGAAUACAAGACAAGGUAGCCGAACGGUUCAAAUUUGCCGAGAUAUUGUAGGGCACGUAUUGUAUUCCAACUCAGAUUACUUUCCAUGUAACAAUCGAGUAGAUUAGAUCAAAACUAACUUGUAACCCUAGGUCAUCAGCCUAUAUAAGGCGUCCAGGGGCACCUCCUGAGGGCAUCAAAUCUCUCAAGCAAUACAAACCACCAAGCAUAUAGGACAUAGGGUACUACUCUCCGGAGGCCCGAACCUGUCUAAAACUCUCGUGUCCCUUGUGUUCUUGCGAUCACCUUCGAGUUCUUGGUUUUGCAAUCGCUUCAAUCUACAAAUCAACCACUUGGGUAAACCCCUGGUGGACUGCCGGACUUAUAAAUCCGACAAUCGGCAUGAAUGCAACACACACAGAACAAAACUAUCUAAUUUACCUAUACUACAUUUCCUAUCAAGAAAAUAAAUGUUGGAAAAUUUUUAAAAUUAUAAGAAAAUUAUUGUUUAACUGUUCUUUCUAAUCACAUACUGAAAUCCAAAAAUUUCAGGGUGUUACAAUAGUCAACCUUGUAAAUACCUACGUAUGGAAUUAUCAACAAAUUAAUACUGCUUGAAGUACUAAGUACAGAAAAGGAAAAGUAAAUUGCAAAACUACAAGUCAAAUAAAAUUCAGGUAAACGCGUGAGGCCUGACCAAGUCGUGGUAAACACCGAGCCCACUAUUUGAAUACCAUGAUUGUAUUCACGUCCUAGUUAGCGAUACCUUUUUGUCAUGCUCCCUCCGUCCCAGAAUAUACCUAUGUUUAGACUUUUCAAAGUCAAAUCUUUUCAAUUUUGAUUACGAAUAUCAAAAUAAUCAUAGAGACUAGACAUAAAAAUGAUUAUGGACCAAUUACGUAUAUAUACUCACAACAUUAUACGUCGUUGCGUGAAUGAUGGACAAAUAAUGAUUGUUCAUUGUCCAUUAUUGUACUCUAGUAAUAGUAUAAUAUUAGUAGUAUAUAUCUUUAUCGCUAAGCAGCAGGUCUAACAAUUCAACUUGAUAAGAUCAAGUUAGGUCACUUUCGUAUAUAUUUCUAAACAUAGGUCCUUUUCAUUUUUUAGAUACAUAGAUUUUGCUAUGCAUCUAAAUAUAGAGUUAUAUCUAGGUACAUAACAAAAUUGAUGUAUAGAAAAGUCAAAAUAACCUACAUUUUAAAAUGAAGGGAGCGUAUACUUGUUUUUGGCAGUUGUAGUUGCAUAUACCUUAUUAGAUGAUGCUCAAGUGGGCUUUCAUGGACCAUGUAUGUCUUCGCCUGAUUUGGUGCUCAGGUGGGCUUAAUUAUUAACUCUUGAACCACUAAGCUGAUGAACUGAUGACUACAUUACAUACGUGUUAUUCCUACCCGUAUGAUCGUACGCCUUGUUUAAUGUGAAAUAGUUCCUCCAAAAGUUUCUUUUAAUCCAAAUUCAAUGAAAUAGAUGCCAAUGACCACAUCAUUUUAUAGUGUACCAAAAAACUGCACACUUGCAGCUUCUUCCCCAGGUGGAAUAUGGAAAAGGUCACCAUAUAUAGCUAUGAAACACUAGUAGGGUCAGCAAAGCAAUGCAAUCGAAUGCUCAUGUGUUAUGAUUCCUUCUACUACUUGUUUAAGAUUCCAUGACACUGAAGAUAAUUUUAGGAUGUUCAUUCCAUAUAUAUCCACUUGCCACUUUAGCACAACCUGCAUGACCUUUGGCCUAAUCAUGCGACAGAAUGAUCACUUUAUAGCACCAAACUGAUGAAAUUUGAUACAUUGACCUCACAAAAGUCAACGUCUAACCCUGAGACUGAAUCGACUUAAUCUUAAAUACCACCCCACCAGUACUGCAUCAAUACCGGUUCAAACGUCUCAAGCCAGACAAUAAUUGGGCCUGACAUAUGAAGAAGCUUGCUCCAGUAUGCACAAAAUUAUUGACGAAACACACAUUACCAAGUACUGCCAUCGUUUGAAAAUAUUACAAGGCUUUAUUUUGUUUUGGUAGGAUAAUCAUUUGACCAACUAUAUAUCUUCACUGAAAAGGACGAGUGUGCUGAUAUAUGUGAAUCUUCCAAACCUCACAACGUUAACAUUUUGGAAUUAAUACUCCACGGCAGAAGAGUUGAUAGGUUGGGGUUGCAUAGCUAGCUCCACUACAAAAACAAGAACCUUCGUUAGGUUGAUGGAGCUUGACUGUAAAGGAAGAAGAUGGAACCUCUAGGCCAUGCUUUUAUUUAAUGAUGUUGGCAUAAAACAACAUGUUGAUCUUUUCGUGGUACUGAGAAUGAGUAAUGUAUAAACUGUUGAAGAGACGAAUGGGUAUGUCUUUGGCGUGGCUUGCAGUAUGGUAUUAUAUUUGCAGUUUGAUUAAUGGCACAUAUAGUAUUACGUCUUGGAAUGAUUGAUGUACGUACGGAUAGUUUUGUAUGUAAGGUCGUUAAAGUGAUAAAAAUAUUAAGUUAUCAUGCGUAUACAACUGAAUUUGAUACCAAGGUUUAAGUACAACCUAUACCUAGGUUCAUUGCAUUUUUCCAUGAGCAAGUUCAUGGCAUUUUUCCAUGAGCAAGUACAGCGUUAACAAAUUGAGCGGUUUGGAAUCAAUGCUCCACGCAUCUAUUCAAGUUGAAGGUUGGCUUCAACUUGUGCCAUGAGCAAGUUUAUUUAACUAAGUUGAAAGACUUAAUCUUUAGUGAUGUUGUUGCUGUAGAGCUACUGAGCUAGCUAGCUCCCUUAACAACAUUAAGAAUUCUGGCUAAGUGUGCAUCAGGUAGAGUAUUCUGGCCAGAUAUGUAAUCACCUUGGUAAUUAAUUAAUAUGUACCAGAAGGAAGUUAAAAGUUAAAGAAAUAAAAAGAACAAAUAAACAAAAGUUCUAUACUGAACCUGGUAGGCAGUAAUUAACGGAAUUAGUCUUUGGUUCCAAAAUUUCUAUAUAAAUGAAACAAAUGUUAUAACAAUCUAGCUCUGCUAUUUGCACGGACCACAUCAUUGCUAGUUUGUGUCAACAAAAGCAGCAACUAAAUUUUAUUAGUCCACCGUGAUUUAACAGGAAAGUGUCAUUCUACACCGUUAUUCUAUUGCUGAACAACCACCAAGCAUUUGUCGUACCCGAAAGUGCUCCAGUUGGAUUUUUGAGAUCUAUACGUCUCUCUAACGGGACUAAUGCUCACUUUUUCACCAGUGAAAUCUUGAAACUAAAAUGGCUAUAUGUCCAUGGGAGCCAAAGAACUCCAUUGCCGACACCACCGAUCAGCAAGCCUCAAUCAGCAACUCCUUUCAGUGGUCACUGCAGUGCAACUGCAUCCAAAAUUGGAGUCGGCUGAAAUUUUUUUGGGUUGCCAUUUGUCAAAUACAACAUCGUUUCUUGUUAGCCAAAUAGCAUACCCUGGUGAUGCUUGGCCAUUUUGAUACUACUCUCGCCACAAGCUAGCUCAUAAUAUCAGUGUGCACAAGCAGGAAGUAAAAAAAUUAGCAUGAAAACAAACAAACAAAAAGAACAAAUAAAGUUUUAUAUUCAAUCUGGUAUGCAGUAGUGCACAAAAUUAGUCUUUUGAGCGGUCUACCGUGAUUUUACCAGAAGUAUUUCAUUCUCUAUUUCAUUCUACAGGUUCCACCCGGAUGAAAGCGAUGCUUUUUCUUAAGCUAUAUAUAUACGGCCUCAGGGCUCUCCAGGACUCCAAACUGUGUACUCUCUUCAUUGCGGUGAGGUUGAGAACUAGGGCUCCCAUCCUGAUUAGAUUCUGGGGGAGAAAACCAUGGCUACUGCCGACAUGGUUCCCCCACCACCAAUUCCCCAAGAUGAUGCGCUAGCUUUGGUCUCGGUGGUAGCGUUGGUCUUGCUGGCGAUGGUGGCCAUAUUCCUCUUACAUAUGCUGAGUCCGUUACGCCGGUGGUUGAGCCACAGGCUCCUCCAUUCUAUCGUGAUGGGAAUCUACACGCUCUCCUACCCGCUGGUGGGCUACACCAUUGGGCGGAUGCAGAGUUCCAAUUGGUACACUACGGGAAACCUUAAAUUUGCCGAGUGUUUUCUUUUUGCCGAGUGUUUUUUUUCGGACACUCGGCAAACAAGCUCUUCGCCGAGUGCCAAGUCAAAAACACUCGGCGAAAAAAAAACACUCGGCAAAUCGGGACUUUACCGAGUGUCAAAUAAAAAACACUCGGCAGAGCCCCCUCUUUGCCGAGUGUCAAAAAAAACACUCGGCAAAGAGGAGAGUUUGCCGAGUGUCAAAAAAGACACUCGGCAAAGAGGGGGGUUUGCCGAGUGUUUUUUUGACACUCGGCAAAAAAAUAAUUUUUUUCCUCUUUUCAUCACGAAAUUUUUUCUACUCCCCACAUACAACAUGUGGUACUCCAUGUUAAAAUUUGGUAUAUUUUUGGAUUUAUUUGCUAUAUUUAUUUAAUUAAUUGCAUUUCAAGGAAAUUUUUGGUAUAAGUCAAAUUUGAACUGCAAGUGAUUCAAAUUAUGGAACAAAAUGAGUAGAAAAAUGAUAUUCAUGUUAUUUGGCCCAAUUUGAGACCUGACCCAUGAAAUGAAAAGAAAUUUCGAACAUCUUGUUCAAGAAACACGACCAUGAACGUGUGUCAGUAGUAUUUUUAAAUUGUAAAAAAACAAGCAAAGUCUGAAAAUCAUGAGAUUUGUCAUGAUGUGAUGAUAUAAUACGUGGACGCUAUGGAAAAAAAUUGAGAAGGUUUUGCACAUUUCAUCAUGUACAAUGAUUACAAACUGAAGCAUCUCAGAAGAAGAAUAGUAAUUUUAAGAAGAUUCGAUAAGAUUUAGAGUCGAAGUGACGGUCGAGUUUGGUUUGACUACAAAACUUUUUGUAUAGGCAAUAGAGAACAUAUAUUGAUUCGUGUGAAAAUUUGGUAUUUUUUUUGAGACGGUUAGAUAUUUUUUAAAUUUUUUUCUAAAAAAAUUUGCCGAGUGUCCUAUGGUGGACACUCGGCAAAUAAACCGUUUACCGAGUGUCCACGUAGGACACUCGGCAAACAGACGGCCCACAAAAUAAAUUAACCUCCCCCAGCCGGCCCCCUCCCCCAACUCCCUAUCUUCUCCUCCUGCCGCCUCCUGCCGCUCCCUGCCCCCUCCCAGCCCACGCCUCCUGCCGCCGCCGCCGCCGCAUGCCAUCUCCCUCCCCCGGCCCCCUCCCCUCCCUCUCCUCCGGCAGACGCCAUCUCCCUCCCCUGGCCCCCUCCCCUAACGCCCCCGGCCCCGCCGCCCGGCGCCCCCCGGCCCGGCGCCCGGCGCCCUCCGCCCGACGCCCCGCCGCCCGCCGCCCAGCCCCCGGCCCCGCCGCCCGGCGCCCAACCCCGCCCGCCGCCGCCCCCUUCGGAUCUGGCCGCCGCCGCCCCCUUCUUCCCCUUCCCCGGCUCCCUCCCCUCCGGCCGGAUCCGCGCCCCCUUCUUCCCCUCCAGCGCGGAUCCGGCGGCCCCCACCUCUCUCCCCUCCGGAUCUGGCGCGUGGUGGCGGGCGGCAGCGGCGUGGCGGCAGCGGGCGUGGCGGUAGCAGGUGUGGCGGCGGCGGGCGGCAGCGGCGUGGCGGCGGCGGGCGGCAGCGGGCGUGGCGGCAGCGGCUGGCGGUAGUGGGCGGCAGCGACAGGCGGCAGCGGCGUGGUGGCGGGCGGCAGCGGGCGUGGCGGCAGCAGGCAGCGUGGUGGCCGUGGCCGUGGAUGGCCUGGGCGUGGCGGCGGCGGCGGCGGCCAGCUGGAGCUGCCCCCGGUGGUCGGGGUAUGUUUUUUUUUAUUUUUUUCUGGAAAUAGUUUGCCGAGUGUUUUGUGCCACUCGGCACACCCUUUGCCGAGUGCCCGACCAAAGACACUCGGCAAAGUUAACUUUGCCGAGUAAAACUUUGCCGUGUGCUCGUCGCCGAGUGUUACACUCGGCAAACAAGUUGCCGAGUGUUUUUAGGGUUUCGCCGAGUGCCUGGGGCACUCGGCAAUUUGUAGCUUUCCCGUAGUGGUACCUCUAUGACUACACCGUGUGGGCUGUGUUCCUGCUUCUGCUCCUCAGCAGCACGGACAGCCUCACGGCUUGCCGCCUCAAUGACAUUGACAGCUGGAAGAGCAUCUACGUCAAACAACUCUUUAAGGGGUUCUUGCUGGUGUAUAUCAUUCUAAAGUUUGGAUAUUACAUCGAGAAGGAUGUGGAUGCGGACCACCUGUGGUACCCGCUCUCAGCCAUCGUAUUUCUUAUUGUCAUCAAGUCAUAUGUGAUGAUAGCUUCCAUGAGGAUGGUGAGCAAGUCCUACCUCGGCAAGAACGUGAAGGUGGUCGCCGAUUACAUGCAGUAUAUAGACAACAAGCUGGUGACCUUUGAUCCUGUGACCAUGGAAGGAUACCGGUACAUGGUCGCUGGUGAGAAACACUGUGUCAACCGGCCUGGACACACACCAUGGUACAAGAAGCCGGACGACUUGAAGGUUACCACCGUGGAGCAGAUCUGGCAGUGCGAGGGGAAUCUGCUCAUUGGUGAUCAGGGCAAGGUGCUAAAGGACUUGUGCCUCUCUAUGGCUCUCUCCAAGAUGCUCAACCGAAGGUUUGCUGGCUUCAAGCUCUCAGAGGCAGAGCUUGAGAAAACCCAUGACUUCGUAUUCAAAGGCCUGCUCGCCGGGGACGAGCAGCGGGCCUUCAGGGUCAUUGAGGAAGAACUUGUUUUUCACCAUGACAUGUAUUACACAAGGUACUCUUACCUCUACCAAAAGGGUCGAUACCUGGCUCUCUGUCUGCCUGUCAUCAUGUCUACCCUAUGCUCGUGGCUCACAGUGACCAGCCUGCUCGACAGGCGCAAAAACCCCUAUCAAAAAUCCUCCUUAUUCGCAAAAGGCGAACUGGGUUACCCCACCAUAGUCACAACUCUUGUCGUGGCACUCCUGGAGGCAUACCAGCUGUACCUGUACAUGGCCUCAGGUUGGUUCAAGGUGGCUCUGAUACAGAGCUACGUCAGCGCACCAUUUUUGCACACAAGCUGUUCUGAGAUGAUCAUACGUUUUCUCUUGAUGUUGAAGGCGUUUCGCCCAUGGAAGGGCAGACUUGGGCAGUACUGUUUCCUCGAGAAUCUUGGCCACAAAAGUAAGGUUAUGAAUUGUCUCCAUUAUGCUACACUACGCCUGGUGGACAAGGCCAUGAAGGGGCGCAAGAAAUCAGUGAAGCUGUCUGGAAAUGUAAAGAAAGCCAUCAUUGAUUACCUACUAGGAAGCAACGGGCACCUGACGAAUGGGGUAACAUCGCUCCAAAGAAAUGGCGUCCAUGAUGACCUCGCAUGGGCAUGUGAUGCUUCUGCUACCGAUGGAGCGGUGACUCGCACCAUUCUGGUCUGGCACAUUGCUACAACAUUGUGUGAGCACCAGCUGGAUCAACAAGGCAAAGAAGCAGAGGCGGUUAGAACAGCCUCCACUUUAUCGAAGUAUUGCAUGCAUCUGCUGGCUUUCGCACCUAACUUCUUGCCCGAUCACAGCACUAUAUCGGAAUCCAUACUUGAUGAGUUAAUUGUACAGGGCAAGCUACUCGACGGGUCCAAUGAUUUUGAUAGCAGGUGUAAGCAACUAUUGAAGAUUAACACCCAUGAUGGUGAUGGUGGUGAAGCACCCCUUCUUGCACAGGGCGCUCAGCUUGCAAGGCAGAUUGAAGGCAUACAAGACUCGAAAUUGCGGUGGAAGGUCCUCUCUGAUUUCUGGGCGGAGAUGAUGCUGUAUGUCUCGCCGUCUGACGAUGCCCGGGCACACCUGGAAGUUCUUCCAAGAGGAGGGGAGUUCAUCACACACCUUUGGGCGCUGCUCACGCAUGCCGGUGUGCUGAAGCGAGGCCCUACAGAGCCAAAGGAUGUUGUGUGACCUCUCCAACAAGUGCACACGUAGCAGUCCUUAUAUCUAUCUAGUGCUUGUAACAUUCUAUUUAUAUUGCCUACUGUCAUGUUGGGACACACCAACUUGUGCCACACCAUGUGUGAGUUAGUCUGUCGAGUCUGUAUCUCUUUGCAUGUCGUGUCUGUUGUCGGAUUUUGGUCAGGGUCGGAGUCUGUAAUUUCUGCAAGAUUCGUAAGAAGAGUGCACGUUCAGGUUGUUGGAC
rnacentral:lncRNA from 1 species